rnacentral:misc_RNA from 1 species
AAGACUAUAGACCUGCGGAGUACCUGCGGAGGGAUCAUUAACAAAUCUGAGUUGUGGGUGUGUGGUGCGUGCAUGUGUAUGCGUCAAGUGUACACCGUGCACAAUCCGCUCGCCUACACAUUUACCCCGAGCCGGUCUAAACAGCCGGCUUUGGUUUGAGCCUUUGGGCUCAGGCGAUGGCUGUACGCGGUGUAGGGAGGGGGGGAGGGGGGAGAGCAGCGCUGCUGCCUUUCCCUCUCU